AAACUAAACCCUAAAUCUUUUCUCCUCUGCACUCUGUGAGGUGAUUCAAACUUGGAAGCUUCGUGGUGGGGGUUUUUGCAUCUCUGCUUCGGUUUAGAAAUCAGAUUCUUUGAAUAACUAUAGGAGCUACGUGAUAAAUGGAGGAUCAUAAGCCGACGAGUUUCACGUUUGAGAUAGAUAACUUCUUAGAGAAGGAAGCUGUGAUUUCAUCCCCAACAUUCUCAAGUGGAGGCUGCCAAUGGUAUGCAAAGGUUUAUCCCAAGGGAAAUGGUAUUGAAGAUCACUUGGGUCUAUACCUUCAUGUUGCAAAUUCUGGAUCAUUGCAACUUGGAUGGAAAAGGCGAGCUAAAUAUUCCUUUGUUCUGUUGAACCAAUCCGGCAAAGAAAUCCACAAAACA